rnacentral:rRNA from 1 species
GCGUAGCAAUACGUCAGCGGCAGACGGGUGAGUAACGCGUGGGAACGUACCUUUUGGUUCGGAACAACACAGGGAAACUUGUGCUAAUACCGGAUAAGCCCUUACGGGGAAAGAUUUAUCGCCGAAAGAUCGGCCCGCGUCUGAUUAGCUAGUUGGUGAGGUAACGGCUCACCAAGGCGACGAUCAGUAGCUGGUCUGAGAGGAUGAUCAGCCACAUUGGGACUGAGACACGGCCCAAACUCCUACGGGAGGCAGCAGUGGGGAAUAUUGGACAAUGGGCGCAAGCCUGAUCCAGCCAUGCCGCGUGAGUGAUGAAGGCCCUAGGGUUGUAAAGCUCUUUUGUGCGGGAAGAUAAUGACGGUACCGCAAGAAUAAGCCCCGGCUAACUUCGUGCCAGCAGCCGCGGUAAUACGAAGGGGGCUAGCGUUGCUCGGAAUCACUGGGCGUAAAGGGUGCGUAGGCGGGUCUUUAAGUCAGGGGUGAAAUCCUGGAGCUCAACUCCAGAACUGCCUUUGAUACUGAAGAUCUUGAGUUCGGGAGAGGUGAGUGGAACUGCGAGUGUAGAGGUGAAAUUCGUAGAUAUUCGCAAGAACACCAGUGGCGAAGGCGGCUCACUGGCCCGAUACUGACGCUGAGC